GAUGAAGAACGUAGCGAAAUGCGAUAAGUAGUGUGAAUUGCAGAAUUCAGUGAAUCAUCGAAUCUUUGAACGCACAUUGCGCCCCAUGGUAUUCCGUGGGGCAUGCCUGUUCGAGCGUCAUUUACCCCCUCAAGCUCCGCUUGGUGUUGGGCGUCUGUCCCGCUUCGCGCGCGGACUCGCCCCAAAGGUAUUGGCAGCGGUCGUGCCAGCUUCUCGCGCAGCACAUUGCGCUUCUCGAGGCACCGGUGGGCCCGCGUCCAUCAAGCUCACCCCCCCAGUUUGACCUCGGAUCAGGUAGUGAUACCCGCUGAACUUAAGCAUAUCAAUAAGCGGAGGA
rnacentral:misc_RNA from 1 species